rnacentral:rRNA from 1 species
GUCCUUAGUUGCCAGCGAGUCAAGUCGGGAACUCUAAGGAGACUGCCGGUGAUAAACCGGAGGAAGGUGGGGAUGACGUCAAGUCAUCAUGGCCCUUAUGGGCUGGGCUACACACGUGCUACAAUGGCCGGUACAGAGGGUCGCAAGCCCGCGAGGGGGAGCCAAUCUCAGAAAACCGGUCGUAGUCCGGAUCGCAGUCUGCAACUCGACUGCGUGAAGUCG